rnacentral:lncRNA from 1 species
CCCAAACCUAAUCACUUAAAUCCAGAAAGCCCAAAAAUCUCUAUGUUUCUCUCUCUUUCUCUCGCUUCCGCUCAACAACCGCUGCCUUCAUUUUUCAACCGCUCCAAGCCGAUUCGUUGGACGUCGAGCACUAGGAAACCCACAAGCCAGUGGGGAGAUCUUCUUUGGAUUUGUUUGGUGAAGAUGCAAUCUCAAUUUUUGGAUUCAAGUUUUUGUAAAGCUCCUUCUUCAGGAUCUGUUAAUGAGUUAAAUUUGAUGUUAAUAUACAAUAAUAAAACUUGUAGUUCCACUAUUGUCUUCUCUAGUUCCUUCGGCUAGCUCUCUGCCUAUAUUUUUGUUUAAUGGUCACUCAUUAUGUAUGAAAAAGUUUAUAAGACCUGGGAGUCUAUUUGGAAUUAAAUGUUGUAUAUAGGAAGUUAGGAACCACCACUUACAGCAUUUAAUUGAAGCUUCUGAACUCCUAAAUUGGAGUCACAUCUCUAUUGUUAAAUUCCCAUUGAUUCUGACCUACGAAUCCAGUACAUUUUUCAUAUUCAUACAAGUUUGCUGUUUUUGUGUGUGUGUGGUUGAAUCAAAUGAUUUCUAUCCCAUUUCUAUAAUUUUAGAUGUAGAUAUGUGUG